rnacentral:rRNA from 1 species
UCGACUGUUUACCAAAAACAUAGCUCUAGAACACUUUCUAAAGUGACGCCUGCCCAGUGGUAAAUAUAUUUAUAUAUUAUUGUAAUGAUAGUAAUUAUUAUUCAACGGCCGCGGUAUUUCUGACCGUGUUAAGGUAGCACAAUCAAUCGCCGCUUAAUUGGCGGAUGGUAUGAAUGGUAGUACGAAAGUUUCACUGUCUCUUAAAUAGAUCAAAGAAAAUUAAAAUAAUAGUUAAGAUGCUAUUUAAAAUCGUAAGACGAUAAGACCCUAUAAAGCUUAACUAUAUCUUUAUAACUAAUUUUAUAUUCGUUGUAAGGUGGGUAGUUUACUUGGGGCAAGGUUUCUUUAAAAUUAAAAAGAAUAAGCAAUAUUAAUAAGACAAUAAUUAUUGUAUAAAUGAUUUUUUUAACAAUCACUAUGUGGGCUAUAAUGACCCGUAUUAACCUUAAAAUUGGUUAUACGAUAAAUAGAUAAAAGCUACUUUAGGGAUAACAGGGUAAUUCGGACAAAGAGUUCUUAUCGCUGUUAGAGUUUGCCACCUCGAUGUUGAAUUAAGAUAACCUGACGGAGCAGGAGCUGUCAAAGGUAGGACUGUUCGUCCUUUAAAAUCUUACAUGAUUUGAGUU